GAUGAACGCUGGCGGCGUGCCUAAUACAUGCAAGUCGAGCGAACGGACGAGAAGCUUGCUUCUCUGAUGUUAGCGGCGGACGGGUGAGUAACACGUGGAUAACCUACCUAUAAGACUGGGAUAACUUCGGGAAACCGGAGCUAAUACCGGAUAAUAUUUUGAACCGCAUGGUUCAAAAGUGAAAGACGGUCUUGCUGUCACUUAUAGAUGGAUCCGCGCUGCAUUAGCUAGUUGGUAAGGUAACGGCUUACCAAGGCAACGAUGCAUAGCCGACCUGAGAGGGUGAUCGGCCACCCUGGACCUGAGACACGGUCCAGACUCCUACGGGAGGCAGCAGUAGGGAAUCUUCCGCAAUGGGCGAAAGCCUGACGGAGCAACGCCGCGUGAGUGAUGAAGGUCUUCGGAUCGUAAAACUCUGUUAUUAGGGAAGAACAUAUGUGUAAGUAACUGUGCCCAUCUUGACGGUACCUAAUCAGAAAGCCACGGCUAACUACGU
rnacentral:rRNA from 1 species